rnacentral:rRNA from 1 species
GUGGGGAAUCUUAGACAAUGGGGGAAACCCUGAUCUAGCCAUGCCGCGUGAGCGAUGAAGGCCUUAGGGUUGUAAAGCUCUUUCAGCUGGGAAGAUAAUGACGGUACCAGCAGAAGAAGCCCCGGCUAACUCCGUGCCAGCAGCCGCGGUAAUACGGAGGGGGCUAGCGUUGUUCGGAAUUACUGGGCGUAAAGCGCGCGUAGGCGGACCAGAAAGUUGGAGGUGAAAUCCCAGGGCUCAACCUUGGAACUGCCUUCAAAACUCCUGGUCUGGAGUUCGAGAGAGGUGAGUGGAAUUCCGAGUGUAGAGGUGAAAUUCGUAGAUAUUCGGAGGAACACCAGUGGCGAAGGUGGCUCACUGGCUCGAUACUGACGCUGAGGUGCGAAAGCGUGGGGAGCAAACAGGAUUAGAAACCCUAGUAGUCC